rnacentral:rRNA from 1 species
ACGGAGGGUGCAAGCGUUACUCGGAAUCACUGGGCGUAAAGAGAGUGUAGGCGGGUAUAUAAAUUAGAAGUGAAAACCAAUUGAUUAAACAUUGAAAUGCUUUUGAAACUGCGUACCUCGAAUGUGGGAGAGUUAAAUGGAAUUUCCGGUGUAGGGGUAAAAUCCGUAGAUAUCAGAAGGAAUACCGGUUGCGAAGGCGAUCUACUGGAACAUUAUUGACGCUGAGACUCGAAAGCGUGGGGAGCAAACAG